UACCUGGUUGAUCCUGCCAGUAGUCAUAUGCUUGUCUCAAAGAUUAAGCCAUGCAAGUCUAAGUACGAGCUCUCGUACAGUGAAACUGCGAUUACAGGGUCAAAAAUCUGCAUGAGUAACGCGCAUGACGUACACCAUGCGAGUAAGAAUUUACUCCCGCAUAUAAAAAAAACUAAUUAACAUUUACCGCGACCAUUUCCUAUUCAACUGGAGUAUAUUCUUUUUAUUAUACACACG
rnacentral:ncRNA from 1 species